CACAGGGAGGUAGUGACAGGAAAUAACGAUGCGGCGCCUAUGGUGACUGCAAUUGGAAUGAGGAGGAGGUAAAGAUGAGCACGAUGAACGAUUGGAGGGCAAGUCUGGUGCCAGCAGCCGCGGUAAUUCCAGCUCCAAUAGCGUAUAUUAAAGUUGCUGCAGUUAAAAAGCUCGUAGUUGAAGAUGGGGCGGGGGGUGAGGAGUGCCUUAGGGUACAUCUUUAUGAUCUUGUACGCAAGAGCCCCCGCCUUUCCGCCUGGCGCGAGUGCAGACUAACCUCUGCAGUAGCAGGCCCAGGCAAGAUUACUUUGAGAAAAACAGAGAGUUCAAGGCAGGCGUUCGCUUGAAUACGUUAGCAUGGAAUAAUGACACGAGCAUCAUGGCUUUUGUCGUGGUAGCGAUAGAUGGAGAAUAGGGACAGUUGGGGGCAUUAGUAUUCCGGGGCUAGAGGUGAAAUUCUUGGAUUCCCGGAGGACUGACGAGAGCGAAAGCAUUUGCCAAGGAUGUUUUCAUUAAUCAAGAACGACAGUUCAGGGAUCGAAGACGAUUAGAUACCGUCGUAGUCUGAACCAUAAACGAUGCCGGCUGAGGGUCCGUUUUUACUAGUGCUGCAACAAGUUGCAGCGAAACGGGUACUGGAGAGAAAUUGAAGCGUUCGGGUUCUGGGGGGAGUAUGGUCGCAAGGCUGAAACUUGAGGGAAUUGACGGAAGGGCACCACCAGGAGUGGAGCCUGCGGCUUAAUUUGACUCAACACGGGGAAACUCACCAGGUCCAGACAUGAGGAGGAUUGACAGACUGAUAGCUCUUUCAAGAUUUCACGGGUGGUGGUGCAUGGCCGUUCUUGGUUGGUGGAGUGAUUUGUCUGGUUAAUUCCGAUAACGAACGAGACCUUGACCUUUUAUUUGACUGGUGCUUGGGCCCGCCCAAGCAGUGCGUCAUAAUGGGACAGUCAGUUUUCAACUGGAGGAGGAGCGAGGCAAUAACAGGUCUGUGAUGCCCUUUGAUGUUCUGGGCUGCACGCGCGCUACACUGAUGGAGACAGCGAGUGCUUUUAAGUAAGGGCCUGGCCAGGGAUGGCUGGGGAAACGCGAAACUCUAUCGUGCUGGGAUCAGUCAUUGCAAUUAUUGACUGUGAACGAGGAAUUCCUAGUAGGCGCAAGUCAACAGGUUGCGUCGAUUAAGUCCCUGCCCUUUGUACACACCGCCCGUCGAUACUACCGAUU
rnacentral:rRNA from 1 species